CUUCUUCAUCCGUCUUCCGCCACAUCUCCUCCGCUUGCGCUCGGUUCACCGUGUAGUGCUUUUUUUUUGUCGAGCGACUUCUUCUCCUUCGCCCAUCUUCCGCCGCAUCUCCUCUACCUGCGCUUGGUUCGUCGUGUAGUGCCGUUCGUAUGGCGACGGUGCCGGCACCCUUCGCCUCCGAACAGGGAGGGUGAUUUUUUUUUUUUUACCGAGCGACUUCUUCUCCCUUGCUUUAAAAAUUCACGCAUCCAUGUGUCAAAUGGAGAAGCACCAAUGAGAUUAUUCUAUUUUAUAUUAUAUAUGUUAGAUUAGAUUAGAUUAUAGUGCGAUGUCUUGCGUUGUACUUACAAAGGGCGGUGUAUUCUGAAGGCGGCAAUGCUUCAAGCAAAUUGUGGUUUGAAGUAAAUUAUUUAUUUAAUAAAAUACUUAUAUUUGAAUUUGGAUUAUCGACUUAUACAUCGGAUUCAUGAUAACUUCUUAAUCUAUCCUCUAUCCAAACCCCCUCUGUCCCUCCUCCCCACGCGCUUCUGUCUCUGCUCCAUCUCCGCUCUCCUCCUACUCUGGUUUCCGAGGAUUAGCGGGCUUCCGCCUUCGAAUUAAGCAAAGACUACCAUGGAUGAACAAGACCAAUCCCAGCCGAACCAAUUCUCCUCGGAAACCCUAGAUCCGAUCGCCCAGAUGAAGCACGCCGCCAUGCUCGAGCGCCUCUCCAAUCUCCACCGCUCCCGCCUCCAGCAAUCCGCCUCGCGCCGCACCGACUCCGCCGCCGCCUCCCCCGCCUUCGAGUCCGUCCACUCCUUCCUCGACCGCUUCUCAGACUCCAAGCGCUCCAUCGAGGCCGACCUCGCCCGCUGCCGCGCCCUCGCUUCCGAUCCGGCCUCGGCCCCCAACCUGAAGCCCGAGCUCGAGAAGGUCUCCGCCUCCAUCGCCGAUCUGGACCGUCUCGUCGCCGAGAACUCCUACUUCUUGCCCUCCUACGAGGUCCGCUCCUCUCUCAAGGCCAUCUCCGAGUUGAAAGAGGCGCUGGAUAGCGCCAACUCGGAGCUGAUGCCGAGGAAGAAGUUCUCUUUCAAAAACAAAGCAUCGAGGAAAGAUCAAUGCGUUUUGGUCCAACAAAUAGACGAGAUCAAGGUCCUGGAUGCGGAAAAAUCGAAUCCUGGGGGCGUCCGGGACUCGCCAGGGUUUAGGAACAAGGAGAAUGCGGUUUUGGUGAAGCAUUUCAGGGUUUCUGAAGAGGGCGAGGGGAAUUUCUCUCUUUCGGACCUUAAUUCUUGCGAGGUGUACCUCAAAGGCCGGAUUCGAGCACUCUUUGUACAUCGGCUUAGAAAUUGCCGCAUCUUUGCUGGCCCUGUCCAGGGAUCAAUCCUGAUCGAAGAUGUGAAUGAUUGUUUGUUCAUGCUGUCUUCUCACCAGAUCAGGAUCCACCAAGCCAGGGCGACCGAUUUCUAUCUCCGGGUCCGGAGUAGGCCAAUCAUAGAGGACAGCAAUGGUGUGAGGUUUGCACCAUACCGGUUGUUUUACAAAGGAAUCGAUGAGGACCUGAAAGAUUCUGGUCUAGGGGAGGAGACAGGGAAUUGGGCCAAUGUGGAUGAUUUUAAAUGGUUACGGGCUGUGCAGUCUCCUAAUUGGUGCUUAAUGCCUGAGGAAGAACGUGUGGGCACCACGAAUUCUUCAGAUAGGGAGGAACAAUGUGAUGAUGAAUAGUUUAUCUUGACCUUAAUUUCUGCUCGCAAGCAUGAUCGUGGGCCAGUGGCAACACCUUUGGAGACUUGGAUGUGGAAUAACACAACAUGGCUGGACCUCUACUUUGAAGUUUCCUGCUAAUGCUAGCAAAAAGAGUCUGCAACUUGGCACUUUUCUUGGGAGUUUCAUGCAAGGGAUCUUAGUUUUUAGUAUUGGACACAUCAACUCAAGUCUCAAGGUUUUCCGAACACUUCAAGCAAAAGGACAGUUCGAGACUGAAGUCAUAACCACCUAGCUACAAUUGGUUCACCCCCACCGCACGCGAGAGAGAGAGAGGGAGGAGCUAACAUCCUACACUAUCAUUAUCAUUGAAAUCAUAAAGAUCUGACAAGGUUACCAUUACAUUUAUUUGGUCCUACAGCAAAUAUAAAACCUAUAUACGGUUGUCAGUUAUUAUUUUAGGAGGGGUUUGUUGGUUUUAAUAUUAUGACUUGAAUACGACCCACGUGCCUAGGAUGUUCUAUACUCAUGCCAAUAUCAUUUCUUUUCUUCUUUUGGUGAUGAUGUGGUGCUCAUGAUUCCCAUCCUGUUGCAUGAGUUUAACUGUCAGAUGCCUUCAUCAUGUAAUUCAAUAAGACCUACAGCGAAUAAAAUCCUUCCUAGGGUGUACCUAGCCAGAUCUCUUCAUUUUUCAUUUGUUUAUGGCGCCAAAAAAAGGGAGGGAGGGAUGGAGGCAUCCAUGAAUCCAACCCUAGGUAAUAGUUGGAUAAAUAUAAUCUUAGUAAGAUCGAUUGAUCAUAUGCCAUCAGGUCUUGUAAUGAAUUUGUUGUUGGUACAGGCUAGAUCAAAAUUUUGUAUGCUUAAAAUGUUUUUGUAUGCUUGGGAAUGGACAACACUCAGUAGCAUGUUAUUGGUCUAAACACAUGUAUAUGAGGAAAUCAGUUGGUUAGCUGAGGUCUGUUCAUCUGCUACUGGAAGGGUGACAUAAGAGAUAAUGUAUACAUCUCCAUAGAUCGAGGAUGGUCCACCAGAUAAGGAACUCAAGCCACAGAAGCAACCUGCAGAAAUGUCAAAAUUUCUAGCCUGGUCGAGGUGGUUGCUGGCCAGGUUUCCUCUAACCUCGGGUUAUCUUAUUGCGAAGCUUGUUGUCCUAACCAAAUGAUGCAAGCAAGGAAGAAAAAUAAGGCAUGCAAAAAAAAAGGAAAGAAGAUUGAGAAGGAAGACGAAGGGAAGAAAACAUGCCAUCACCUAGUUCUUCCUCUUUCAUUGACUCAUAGUGGUUCAUGUCUCUCCAACUAUUUAUCAUACUAGUCUUCUCUUACAUUUAAUAUGAUGUUUUCCGUGAGUAAAUUUGGGAACAUACCACUUCUGAUCUCCCAGUGGUAUGCAACGUGUGAGCUUUUAUAAUUUUUUAUUUUUUUUAAAUUUUGAGUGCGUUAAAAACUUAAAUAACUGUGUGUUGUGAUAGUGUGGGACUCAAUUUAACUCAAUUUGCUCCU